GAUUUGAAAGUAAAUGCAUAAUAAAGUGUUUGUUAGAUUUUUGGUCCAUUUCAUUUUUGUAAUAGUUGCUUAUAUCAUAACGACCAGCGGUUUGCAAUGUUAUAAAUGCAGUGCUGAUAACGAUCAAAACUGUCUUAAUCACCAGAAAAUUAAAAACUGUUCACAAUAUGAAAAUAGUUGCAUUACAGAGUCUUAUGGCUACAAAGUUGAAGACAUCGAGACUACUUCAUUUGAAAUUUUUUUUAAAAAAAAUUGUCACAACAAUCGAAUCGAAAGUUGUUUAAAAAGACGCAGAAAUUAUGAAAAGUUAGGUAUUAAAAAUUCAAAGGUUGCGUGUUGUAAUUCAAACCUGUGCAAUGAAGCAGUAAAAGAAGAGAUAUUUUUAAAGGUGUACAAAAACGGGUCGAUGUUAUUGUCGCCA
rnacentral:lncRNA from 1 species